CCUACGGGUGGCUGCAGUGAGGAAUAUUGGUCAAUGGGCGGAAGCCUGAACCAGCCAAGUAGCGUGCGGGAUGAAGGCCCUACGGGUCGUAAACCGCUUUUGCACGGGGAUAACACCCUCCACUUGUGGAGGUCUGCAGGUACCGUGCGAAUAAGGGCCGGCUAAUUCCGUGCCAGCAGCCGCGGUAAUACGGAAGGCCCGAGCGUUAUCCGGAUUCAUUGGGCUUAAAGGGAGCGUAGGCGGGCGUUCAAGUCAGCUGUAAAAUCGCGCGGCUCAACCGCGCCCCGCAGUUGAAACUGGACGCCUUGAGUUCACAACAGGCAGGCGGAAUUCGUGGUGUAGCGGUGAAAUGCAUAGAUAUCGCGCAGAACUCCGAUUGCGAAGGCAGCGUACCGGCGCCAGACUGACGCUGAGGCACGAAAGCGUGGGGAUCGAACAGGAUUAGAUACCCCUGUAGUC
rnacentral:rRNA from 1 species